AUGUAGGAGCUGCCGAAGGCUGGGAUCUUUUGAUCUUUUUUUAAGGCCAAGAUCAAAAGAUCGCAGCCUUCGGCAGCUCCUACAU
rnacentral:misc_RNA from 1 species